rnacentral:rRNA from 1 species
GACGAACGCUGGCGGCGUGCCUAAUACAUGCCAGUUGAGCGCUGAAGGUUGGUACUUGUACCGACUGGAUGAGCAGCGAACGGGUGAGUAACGCGUGGGGAAUCUGCCUUUGAGCGGGGGACAACAUUUGGAAACGAAUGCUAAUACCGCAUAAAAACUUUAAACACAAGUUUUAAGUUUGAAAGAUGCAAUUGCAUCACUCAAAGAUGAUCCCGCGUUGUAUUAGCUAGUUGGUGAGGUAAAGGCUCACCAAGGCGAUGAUACAUAGCCGACCUGAGAGGGUGAUCGGCCACAUUGGGACUGAGACACGGCCCAAACUCCUACGGGAGGCAGCAGUAGGGAAUCUUCGGCGAUGGACGAAAGUCUGACCGAGCAACGCCGCGUGAGUGAAGAAGGUUUUCGGAUCGUAAAACUCUGUUGGUAGAGAAGAACGUUGGUGAGAGUGGAAAGCUCAUCAAGUGACGGUAACUACCCAGAAAGGGACGGCUAACUACGUG